AUGCGGGCUAGACUGGAGGGUUAGAGGUCCUCUGUAAGCACAUAUCCUCUUAUGGUGCAGUCGAAGUUCAGAAGGCGGCAAAUUAACCGAUUUUCAGCCCUAAAAUUCAAUGCCGAAACCUCGUCCCGCAGGAUUAGUGGUGAUAGGGCUCUGGCUGGAGGGCUAGAGUAAACUAUCUCAAUUAUGGGAACGGGUCAGGCCUGGAAAGGAGCAGCUCUACCAUGAACAGCUGAUGCUUGUGGAGCAACGGGGUGGAGUUGGAUUUUUGGAUCACUGACAAUUGGAAGGUUUGUCCACUUCUGAACAUGCCUAUUU
rnacentral:SRP_RNA from 2 species